rnacentral:tRNA from 1 species
GCUGUUAUAGCUCAGUCGGUAGAGCGCAUCCUUGGUAAGGAUGAGGUCCCCAGUUCGAAUCUGGGUAACAGCUCCA